CUCCGCUGCCCUCCUACAGUUGGGCCCUUCUUUCUCCUCCUCUCCCCCUCCCCCUCCAGCGCGACUCGCGCCCGGCUCUUCCCUCUCCCCUCCCCGGCGCGUCUUUCCCGGCCCGCCCGGUGCAUUGUGGGCUGACGUCUUGGGGUUUGACUGUCUAGUGACGGUGGCUGCCGCGAGCCGGGCGGACGCGGGCUCUCGCCGCCUCUGACCGAAGCGGGCUCAACUUCAGGGCUCGGGCGGGAAGGCAGGAGAUGCAGGCACCCGGAAGGCUCGGGAACCCGGCCAGGUGUCUGCGGCCAAGGGCGCGGGGUGGAGGGAGGUGUUUCCCCACUUGGGGGGCUCGUUGUCCCCCACGGGCACUUCGCCUCGGUGCAGGGCUGGAGGCCGAGCGCCAGGCUCUGUGCCCCCCCGCACUUCCGGGGGGCGGGAGCACCGCCCUUAAGGUGGCUCUGUUAAGUCCCCUGUGGGGGCGAGUGAAAGUGGGCUUAAGUUGAGGGGCGGUCUCGAGACAGUGGGCCCCCCACGUUGAGGACGCUCCGAAGUUUGUCUCCCGGUCAAGUUCACAAGCGACGGACAGCGCUGCUGUCUGGCUGCGCCUAGAAACCAAGUGAUUUGUAUUGCUCCAAACUGGGCGCUCAGCUAAGUCCGCGUUGCACCCCCUAAUGCCCUCUCCAAACCAUGGGAAAAGGGGAGCGAGGGUUCAGUUUUGCUUCGAUGGCGAAGUUUUUUUUAUAGGGGGUGGAAUUGGGGGGCAAUUCAACUUCCAGUUGUAAACGAGCGUAUAGGGAAUCUGAAACUUGGGGAACCCCGGUGAUCGUCUACUACCCGCCCCCGCACAACAUGCCAGCACACUUUAGACACACUUUACACACACGCACACACGCACAGACACACACACACACCCUCCGGUCCUGAUUUGCUUACAGGAAAACGAGAACGUGAGACACUCAGCAAAAGUCACGCAACGAGUGAGCGAGUCAGGGAUAGGACCAGGAUUUAAAAUCUCGCCGCUCCCGGCCGGGUGGUGGGCCCAUAUCCUGGGUAGCCUCUAGGAAGCGCUAGACACAUGUUGUCAGCUUGGAUAUGUGCAUUCACAUCACAACUGGAGUAAAGAGGCAGAAAUGAAAAUAAAAACUGAAAUACAAGCAUCUGGCCUCCUUUGAAGACCUUUCUCUGUUAUCACCACAGUACUUGGCUCCUGAGGUGGCGCUGGCCAUGAAGGUACGGGCUGGACCUAUAGUGUGGAUGAGCCUAUGGUCAGAGAAGCCUCUGUGCUCAGCAUCCAGAAGGGCCUCUGAGAUUUCAGACGGGCUCAAAUAGUCUCCAAGACCAAAGGCCCUGGCUCCCUACUUGCACAGUGUCACCACAGCAGGUAGAAAGAAGUCCUCGGUGCCAUUGGAGAACAUUUGGCCUCUGAGACGAGCAGUGGGGCCACCAGCCCUUUUAAGGGCUGACGAUUUUGAAUACCUGAAUGGUCUCGGGUUUUGCACUGGGCAGACAGAUUGACCAAACCUUCAGAAGUGGAAUGAAUGAUAAAGAAGAAGGUCUUUGCAACCUUAGGGCCAGUUCUUUUCAAAACUCUCUCUCUUUUUUUUUAAGUUUAUUUAUUUAUUUGGAGAGAGAGAGAGAGAAAGAGAGAGAGAAAGCCCAAGCAGGGGAGGGGCAGAGAGAGAGAGAGAGAGAGAGAGAGAGAGAGAGAGAGAGAGAGAAUCCCAAGCAGACUCUGCACUGUCAGUGCAGAGCCCGACGGACGUGGGGCUCAAACUCACCAGCCAUGAGAUCAUGACCUGAACCGAAACCGAGAGCCUGACACUUAACCAACUGAACCACCCAAAACUCUUUUAAGGUUCAUAAAAGCAGGGAGCAAACAGGCGGAGAGGCUGGGGGAGAGUGGGCUCUUAACAUGGCUGUGGUGGAGAAAGCCUAGGCUCUGGCUGUGUGACCUUGGGUACACUCCACUUCCCCUCUGAGCCCCAGUUUUCUCUUGUGGUGUUUGGCAGUGGCAAUGCUCUUUCUUCCUUGCUCCUGUCCCCAGAUGGUGGUCGUGAUGAUUAAAUGGGAAUAUGUUUCUGCUGUUGGAGCAGGGUCCCAACACAGAGAAGGUUACUUGGGCAAAAGUCAGGAGACUUGGAUCGUACUUCAGAGUCUUCUCUGAACUCUGUAUCUCCUUUCCCUGGGCCUCCCUUUCUGCAAAAGGAGGGGAUUAGAGUAGGUAUUUUUUUUUCCCUCUGUGGUCUCUUUUGACUGUAACAUGCCAUGAGCCUAUCUCUCUAAGUGGAGGGCAUGUGGCAAUUUUAAGGGAUGAAUGGAUCUUGUAAUAUUUAGCCAUUCAGCCAUCCAACAAAUAUUUAAUAAUGGCUUACCAUAUGUCAGGUGAUGGGGACAGAGGGACACAGCAGAGGUAGUGCCUGCCCUCUCGGACCUUCCAGUCUGGUGUAGAUGCCUCGGUUGAACUCCCUCAUCUCAGAUAGUUAAAGGGACGGGGCGCCCAGGGAAACACUGUUAGCUGAAAGAACGAUGUCAGUCAUGUAAUAGAUGCUCAAAUAUUCAUUGAACAUCUUGCAUAAAUAAGUCAAUGCAAGCACCUUAAGGAAGCUCUUGGGGUGACCUUAGAGUUGGGGAACAGUUUCUAGGAGUCAGGAAAGGUCGUGGGAGCUCUGGCCAAGGGUGUGUGUAAUUGCUAAAGAGUUUGUUUAUUGAGACACCUGAGAAUGAGGGAUCUGCUCCUACCUGCCCGAUUCUCAAGGGGGCCAUUACUGGGAACAAGGAACAAUGACUGCUUCCCAUGCCUUGUGUUUUCCCCAGAGGAGGAGCCAGUACCGAUGCCGGAACCACAGGGGAGAAGAGAAGAGUGGCCAGAGAAAGGUGCCAGUGUUUGUAUGACACUUGGGCCAAGUCCAGAGGACCAUGAAAAAUUAUGGAGUCUCAUCUGUGUCCCAUCACGAGAGAAAAGGGGGCCCAUUUGGGGUGCAAGGGCCACAUGAGGGUUGGCUCCAGGAUCAUGGCCAAGAGGCUGCCUGAGGAGGCGGAAAGAAGUCGGGCUUAGGAGUUGGAGACUGAUUUGGGUUUGAAGGCUGUGGGACCCUGGGCAAAUCACUUAACCUCUCUGAACCAGCUUCCUAAUCUUUUAAAUAGACAUCACAAAGUUGACCUAAGAGGUUAUGAGGUAUAAUACGUCUCAGGCAACUAUAGUCAGGACCUGGGACUAACUGUACUCUUGAUGAUUGGUGUUUAUAAUUAUUACAUUAUCAGGACUCGGGUCCUGAUUCUGUGCCAUAUUGAAAACCAGUGCUAGGAACAACUUCGAGGAGAAAUAUUAGAAGGUUGUAUUAUCUUUAAUAUAAGUGACAUGGUGACUCAAGACUGAGUGGAUUUACAGGGACUUAGCUCUAGCUUAACUCAUCUCGUAACCAGCUGUCUGACCUUAGAUAGACAGUUUUGCCCUCUUUGAGACCUGGUUUUCUCCUCUGUGAAAUGGGAAUAAUUUUCACGCUCAACUUUUUCUCAUCCAUCCAUUCAACAUUUAUUUAAUGCCUGUUAUAAGCCACACUAUGCUUGGUGCUGAGGACAGAGGAACAAAGCAUAGUCCCUGUCCCUAAGGAGCUCACCAUCUAGUGGGACAGACCAUUAAACAAAUAUUUCCAAUAGAGUAUAGACAAGGCUGGCCCUGUCUGAAUGGACAAGGAAGGCUUCCUGGAGAAGGUGCCAUCUAAAGCUGAGAGCCGAAGGAUAAUAGCAUUUAGCCAAAUAAAAGUAGGAAAGGAAGCGGAGAGUUAGGAAAGGCACUCCAGGAAGAAGGAACUGCAUGUGCAAAGGCUAGGAGGCAAAUGGGUGCAGCAGAUGUGAUAAUGUGGCUGGCUGAGUAUGCCUUGCUGCAGUGUGGACUUUGUGUGAAGGCAGUGGGAGACCACUGAGAGAUUUUUAAGUGAGGGAGGUGGAAUAACAUGGUCACAUUUGCAUUUUUAAAAAGAACACUCAAGGUUAUAUGUGCAUAUGUCAAGUUCCAUUAUGGAGAGCAGUUGUGGUAAGUUGAUCCUUCCUGAUCUCCUUCCUCCUCCUUUCCCUGCCCACAUAAAGUGAAAUAACCCACAUGAGCAUGUCUGCUGUAGUGUGUGGCACAUAGUAGGUGUUCAGUUAGCAUAUAUUAUUCCCCUUUUUAAAGCAGUCCUUGAAAAAGAAAUCCCCUGGCAUGGAAUGCAUGUUGGGACAAAAAUGCUGAGGGUGCGGCUGUUUGUAUUUUCUGGCUGCCGUUUCAGUAUAGCUGAUAGGAUUUAGGUCAAAGGAAGUUCCCCAGACAGCUCAGUCUCAGCCAGUCAUCUGGGGUUUCAGGGAGGGCAGGUGAAGGUCAUAGUAUCUCUCCUAUUGCCGGAGGCCAUUUGUCCUCAGGGUCCUAAUCUUGAAAACGUACCAGACCUGGGCAAUCCUGUUAAUUUGUUCAAGAUAGCUUACUCGUCUGUAAAAUGGGUACGAAGUUACCCGUGCCAUGCCACACAAGAUGUUGUCAAGAGGAUCAGAAGAAAAUGUGAACCACAACAAAAUAACGCAAUAGAUUCCAUUCACUGAUACCUACCUUAGGCUGGGCUUUGUUCUUAUGAAGCCAGUAUUAUCAUUAGCCCUAUUUCACAGGUAAAGAAACCCAAGUUCAGAGAAAUUAUGCAAAUCACCCAGGGUAAAGUAAGUGGCUGUAGCCAGAGCCCUGGCAUUUUAACCACAACACCAUGACAUCCACGACCUGCUGCCCCUUGAAAACUACCAACUGUGCCCUGAGCUCUUAAGCAUGAUUCAGGCACCCCAGAAACGCACGCAGAAAGGCGGAAGAAGGAAGGAAAGGGGCAGUGUUUGAAGUCUGAGAAAGUCUUUCCUCAGGCCUCCCACCUUCACCCCCAGCCAAUUUUGGGUCCUCUCCCAGAUGCAUUCCAGGAAAUGGUUCCCUGCCCGCAGCUAAAGUGACCUGUUACUUGCCUGAAGCCUCCCCGGUCUGGGACCGGGUGAGGGCAGGAACUGUCUCCGGGUCAUGGUGUUCUCCCCAGGGCCUAGUACAGUGCCUAGCACUCAGUAACUACUUGUGAAUAGAUUCCUUCUGUCACUUCCCCGGCUUUACUGCUCAAGCCUUCCUCUUGGCCAAGAGGUCUAAAGCAAAGGAGCUGAGGCUUUGGGAAGAAGGCCUUAUAGAUCCUUGGACAUAUGCUGAUGCAGGGCCACCCAGAGGUCAGUGUGCCAGGCUUGGAUCAAGCCUGACAUCAGCCCCCCCACACCCUCUGACAGCAGGAGGGACCCAGAAGGCUAGGGUAGCCCACCACAUCCUGCCCACCCUCUCCAUGGGACUUGAUGCUGGAGGGCUGGCACAGAGCACAGGGUCCAGGUGUCCCAUGAGGAACCCUAAGGGCUUGCCUAGUGGACCCGGACGCCCAAGUCUCUGUACGUGCUGGGUGGCUUGAGCUGGGCUCCUCUGGCUGACGGUUGGUCAACACAUCGCAUGAGAACCAGAACAGUCCUCAGGCACAUUGAGCAACCAGCUUCCCUUGCUCGCCCCCGGCAGGAGCUGGGCCAGGGAAAGUGAAGAAAGCUGUUCUGAGCCUCCCCCGGGUGGGCGUGGGCGGGGCCCUGCCGGGAUAGGGGCGGCUGGACCGGUUUCAAUUGCUCCGGGACCGGAUGCAGCCCGGUGACGACUCGGGCGGAGACAGGAGAAAUGCGCGCCCAGGGCGCACCUGUAGGUCUUCCAGGGCGACGCUAGCUUUGGCAAUGUUACGGCUAGGGGCUCUGGGUCAGCGGUCACCGGGAGUGCGACUUCCGGCUGCUAAAUCAGGCGAGCGGGAGGGGCAGCGGCGAAUCAGCUGACAGGUACAACUGGAGGAGGCUUUGGGCCUCCCGUUUGCCUGGAAAGGAACAGGAGGGAAGGGGCGGCUCCCAGAAACGGCCGGGUGACCGAGCUGCUCCACUGACGUCGCAAGCGCGCAUUUUGUGCCUUACCCCUGGGCCACCCCCGCAGCACGUUUGGGUGGGACGAGCCUGGCCAGAGUUGUGUUUGCUUCCCGGCUGUCCCACCUACAGGCUUUUUGUGUUCUGGGGCCAGUUGACUCCGCUUUUCGGAGCCGAAGUUUCCCCAGGUGAAACAUGGGAACACCAAGCUCAAAGCGUGGUGGGAGAGGUCUGUGAGAGGACACAGAACAGUGCCCAGCGAGUCGUGGGUGCUCAGACGGCGGGGUUCCCUCUCCCUUCCUUGCUCAGGAUCCAGCUUCCACUGCUCGCCCGACCCGAGGUCGCGCCACACAGGAGAUCCUAGACAGUGGGGUCUCGGCGGCGGGAGGUCUGGCUUGGCCAUCACUCAUUUGAGCCUCUGUCGGCCGAACUACCCAGUGGGACGGGGCGUGUGGGCUGAUUCCGAAGGCCGCCUUUGGGUCGUGUUCCUGGGAUCCAUUUUAACGCGCUCUUUCAUUCGCGUGUUGAUUUAU